rnacentral:rRNA from 1 species
UGUGACAGGGUCAUCCCGAGUGCCGACCGCUGAGGUUGGCUUUUACCCAGUCUAGAAAGCUGGGGGAAUAAGGAGAGGGCAAGUCUGGUGUCAGCCGCCGCGGUAAUACCAGCUCUCCGAGUGGUGUGGACGUUUAUUGGGCCUAAAGCAUCCGUAGCUGGCUGAACAAGUCCCCUGUUAAACCCACCGAUUUAAUCGUUGGUCUGCGGGGGAUACUGCUCGGCUAGGGGACGAGAGAGGCAGACGGUAUUCCCGGGGUAGGGGUGAAAUCCUAUAAUCCCGAGAAGACCACCAGCGGCGAAGGCUGUCUGCUAGAACGCGCCCGACGGUGAGGGAUGAAAGCUGGGGGAGCGAACCGGAUUAGAUACCCGGGUAGUCCCAGCUGUAAACGAUGCAGACUAGGUGUUUGGACGGCCACGUGCCGUUCUAGUGCCGCAGGGAAGCUGUUAAGUCUGCCGCCUGGGGAGUACGAUCGCAAGAUGGAAACUUAAAGGAAUUGGCGGGGGAGCAC